rnacentral:rRNA from 1 species
GACGAACGCUGGCGGCGUGCUUAACACAUGCAAGUCGAACGGAAAGGCCCUGCUUGCAGGGUACUCGAGUGGCGAACGGGUGAGUAACACGUGGGUGAUCUGCCCUGCACUUCGGGAUAAGCCUGGGAAACUGGGUCUAAUACCGGAUAGGAGCCAUUUUGAGUGUGAUGGUUGGAAAGUUUUUUCGGUGUAGGAUGAGCUCGCGGCCUAUCAGCUUGUUGGUGGGGUAAUGGCCUACCAAGGCGGCGACGGGUAGCCGGCCUGAGAGGGUGGACGGCCACAUUGGGACUGAGAUAUGGCGCAGACUCCUCCGGGGGGCAGCAGUGGGGAAUAUUGCACAAUGGGCGCAAGCCUGAUGCAGCGACGCCGCGUGGGGGAUGACGGCCUUCGGGUUGUAAACUCCUUUCGCUAGGGACGAAGCUUUUUGUGACGGUAACUAGAUAAGAAGCACCGGCUAACUACGUG